rnacentral:rRNA from 1 species
GGGGAAUCUUGCGCAAUGGGCGAAAGCCUGACGCAGCAACGCCGCGUGCGGGAUGACGGCCUUCGGGUUGUAAACCGCUUUCAGCAGGGACGAAAAUGACGGUACCUGCAGAAGAAGCUCCGGCUAACUACGUGCCAGCAGCCGCGGUAAUACGUAGGGAGCAAGCGUUGUCCGGAUUUAUUGGGCGUAAAGAGCUCGUAGGCGGUUCCGUAAGUCGAGUGUGAAAAAUCUGGGCUCAACCCAGUGGAGCACUCGAUACUGCGGUGACUAGAGUCCGGUAGGGGAGUGUGGAAUUCCUGGUGUAGCGGUGAAAUGCGCAGAUAUCAGGAGGAACACCGACGGCGAAGGCAGCACUCUGGGCCGGUACUGACGCUGAGGAGCGAAAGCGUGGGGAGCAAAC